rnacentral:pre_miRNA from 1 species
CCUCCGCAGUCUGGCUGGUCUUCAGGCUGGGUGAAUAUUUCUUUGAAAGGCUCACCCUCAAGCACAGCUAGGAGC